UACCGGAAGGCAGCAGUGGGGAAUAUUGCACAAUGGGCGCAAGCCUGAUGCAGCCAUGCCGCGUGUAUGAAGAAGGCCUUCGGGUUGUAAAGUACUUUCAGUCGUGAGGAAGGUGUUAAGGUUAAUAACCUUAGCAAUUGACGUUAGCGACAGAAGAAGCACCGGCUAACUCCGUGCCAGCAGCCGCGGUAAUACGGAGGGUGCGAGCGUUAAUCGGAAUUACUGGGCGUAAAGGGCACGCAGGCGGUUAAUUAAGUUGGAUGUGAAAUCCCCGGGCUUAACCUGGGAAUGGCAUUCAAGACUGGUUAGCUAGAGUCUUGUAGAGGGGGUAGAAUUCCAUGUGUAGCGGUGAAAUGCGUAGAGAUGUGGAGGAAUACCGGUGGCGAAGGCGGCCCCUGGACAAAGACUGACGCUCAUGUGCGAAAGCGUGGGGAGCAAACAGGGAUUAGAUACC
rnacentral:rRNA from 1 species